rnacentral:rRNA from 1 species
AUUGAACGCUGGCGGCAGGCUUAACACAUGCAAGUCGAGCGGAGAUGAAGUGCUUGCACCUUAUCUUAGCGGCGGACGGGUGAGUAAUGCUUAGGAAUCUGCCUUUUAGUGGGGGACAACAUUCCGAAAGGAAUGCUAAUACCGCAUACGUCCUACGGGAGAAAGCAGGGGAUCUUCGGACCUUGCGCUAAUAGAUGAGCCUAAGUCGGAUUAGCUAGUUGGUGGGGUAAAGGCCUACCAAGGCGACGAUCUGUAGCGGGUCUGAGAGGAAGAUCCGCCACACUGGGACUGAGACACGGCCCAGACUCCUACGGGAGGCAGCAGUGGGGAAUAUUGGACAAUGGGGGGAACCCUGAUCCAGCCAUGCCGCGUGUGUGAAGAAGGCCUUAUGGUUGUAAAGUACUUUAAGCGAGGAGGAGGCUACUGAGACUAAUACUCUUGGAUAGUGGACGUUACUCGCAGAAUAAGCACCGGCUAACUCUGUGCCAGCCGCUGCCGUAAAAC